UGUUGACUGGAAAGGGGCAGGAGAAAAGUCCCUGUGGCUAAUGGAAAUGUUGUUUAUCUUGAUCUGGGUAAAGAUUACACAGGACUGCUUUCCUCUGGCUCUAUGAGUUGAACCUGGCCCUUUGCCCAGAACACCUCUCUGUGUGCUCACCUAGGGCCACUGGCUGUCAUAUCCUGAUUCACCAACCCAAAAGGGGGCUGGAGAAGGGAUCCUGGGAAACCACUGGGCCACGUUCAGUCUCCUCCCAAGCUGGAUGAAACCAGAAUGACAUCAAAGACCAUGAUGAUGGAGCCAUGAGAUGGAAUCAGACUGCUUGGAAGAGAGUACCUCACCUGUAUCCAUCUUUGAUACUCCUGAUUCUGCCAUCUUCUGCUUGCUGUAAAAGAAUCAGCCCAUCUUUCCAUCCUUAUACCAAGCCAAAGAACACAACUGUGGAGAAGGAUAAUGAAUCCUGAAGAAAACUUGAGUUUUGUAGUUAUCCUCUUUUUUUUGAGGAAGAUUAGCCCUGAGCUAACAUCUCCCACCAACCCUCCUCUUUUUGCUGAGGAAGACUGACCCUGCGCUAACACUUAUGCCCAUCUUCCUCUACUUUAUAUGUGGGAUGCCUACCACAGCAUGGCUUGACAAGCAGUGUGUAGGUGCGCACCCAGGAUCCAAACUGGCGGACCCCAGGCCGCCAAAGUGGAUCAUGAGCACUUAACCACUGAGCCACUGGGCUGGCCCCUUGAGUUUUGUAGUUAUUAGUGUCCCAGCCCAUCCCCUCAGAAUUUGCCUCUCUAAGACAAAGGCUGCUACUGUGACGUUUGUGAAUCUCUGCCUGAGGGCUAUUUAUCCGGCCCUGGGAGCACACAGCCUACAUGCAAGGCAAGCCAGAAACCCCACGUCCUGGAAGCAGCCCUCAACCAAUCCUUGAUAAGAGUCGGUGUAUAAACACCCCAGAUUCCCACUCCUUUGUAAGAAUAACUCUGGCGUUAUAUCCUAUGCUGGCUUCCUGAGGUCCCGCCAAGCCUGAGCUCCGCCUAUUCCAGCAGUAACUGGUUUGGUAACAUUGUUGGCUGCCUUCCUUCCCUAUCUCACUCCCUCACUCUGUUUCCCGGAUUACCUCCCAAAUCAGCUACUUGCACUCAAAUCUUUGUCUGAGGAUCUGCUUUUAGGAGAAUCCAAACUAAGACAUCUAUUGAAAGGAUAAAAGGGAAGCCCCAGAAGAAGCAGGAGCUGAUGCUCAUUAUAACUGUGAAAGGGACAUGGAUCGGACAAAUUUAAAGGGGGCAAGGGCUGAAUCUGGUGAGUUUGGAACUCUUUAUAACCCCCUCUUUUCUCUUAGCCACUUUGUUGAAAAUGAGGCCUUCUAUGUUUAUUAGAUAUUAGAAAGGCCAUAGUAAAAAUUCUGAUGCAUGGUUGUAUAGCUCCUAGCAGAAAGCCUGGCAUGUGGUAAGCACGUAGAGUAGUUGCUGAGUUCAUGAGCAUGGAUGUAUCAGACAUGUUUUCAACUAACCCCCUCAGUCAUUUCAACAUGCAUCACUGUUGCAUCAGUUCUUACUUCCACUAUUCAUCCUGAGCUGUCUGGUUAAUUUUUUUCCUAGUCCAAAUGGAGGUCUUUACCUUCACCCGUAUUGACCUUUUUCUUGUUAGAUUUACCAUAUUUCCAGUUAUUGGGGUUCUUCUGGGUGCUGGUUCUUUCACCUUACUAUUGCUGCUGCUGUGCCCAGCUUCAUAUUCCCCAUAGUUUUCCUCACAACAUCAUCUCGGUCCUCAUCCAAGGCACUGGGACAGUUCUUAACCAGGAAGGAAGUUAAGAACCUGGGCAGGAAAUCGUGCGACCUAUGUCACUACUUCCCUUUAUCUCAGGAGUUGCUGUCUAGCAAAGAGCAGAAAAGUGCUCAAGCUAGCUUAAGAAAAGGAGGGUUUGUUUUAAGCACUCUGGGAAAUUUCAUGCACUCUGAUUUUGCUCUGCCAUUUGAGCGCUCAUGGUUUCCUAUCUCUGCUAGGGGGACUGCUGCAUUUGUAGCCCCACAGACUUGUAGCCCGUGCAGACUUCCAUUUCUGCUCAUUCACUGGGGCUCAUGGUGAGCCAUCAUGGCUGCCCCCAAGGAGUUCCUUCAGACCCCAAGCCCACUUGGCCUUCCAGCUCAGCUCCCUAUGUUCAUAUACUUUGGACUGACCUAGUUUGGUACAAAUGUCCACAUUUGUUUCCACCAUCUAAGGCCAAAGGCAGAUUCAUAUUGUAUAGCGAGCUGCUCCUGCAAAAUUGUGAAUGAGACCGUUUCUCUAUGUUAAGGUAAAACAGAGAAGAAAAUGAUUGCACUUAUCUAGGAUUCCUCCAAAGGCCCAAAAUGCCACCAUAGACAAGAGGGUAUUCAUGGGGUAGAUUUUGGAGACAUUAGCAUUUCAAGGCCACACAACCUUCUAGGUAGGCCUGCUAUGUGAUUCUCUCAGAAGAUGGAGCCUAGGGCAGCCAAAUGUCUAUUGGAAGCCUACUUUUAUUGGGAAGGUAUUUAUUUAUUCACUACUGGGGAAAACCAACAAUUUCCUAUUGUCCUAUUCUGAUUUUAAUUAGAAUAUUAAUCAGCUAUGCUCUGCACAAUUUUAGCUAAAACUCCACAAUGCAAUAUGCUAAAAUUCCUAGGAACAGAGCCAAUUUAAUUCAUAUUAGAUAUUUUGCCCCAGGUUAGCAUUAGGGAC
rnacentral:lncRNA from 1 species